rnacentral:misc_RNA from 1 species
AGUCCACUUUAGUUUAUGGUGACAUGGCGCUGUUGUGGUUAACGGUGGUGGUUUUACAGUUAUGUUUUACACUGCAGGACAAUCAGUUCUGCGAAAUCGCCAAUGUCCAGAUUGAACAUGAAGAUGGAACCAGACAGGUCUUUGAAUUAAAACGAAUCGAGCCGAUUAAAGGCGCUCCUUGCCUCGUAUGUGGGAAUAAGGCAAGCAACAGAGAAUGGGAAACAACUCCGCUUACGUUCAACAUCGUGUUGACGCCCGGUGAAGUCGUCGCCGAGUGUGAGACAGGCAAACACAAUCUCCCAGCUGGGCUUUGUACCUCUCAGCAUAUGAACGAAGUUUGCAAUAAAGAUGAUCCGUCCUCAUGUCCAGAGGAUCCCCAGAUUUUAGCAAACAGUAUAGUUGAACAAGGUCUUGUUCCCAUGGCAACCGGAGAUUCUGAUAUUGACCAAAAGAUUGCGCUGGCAGUGGUCUUGGUUAAUUUGGGAUCACAUGACCUCGCCAUUCAAAAGUUUACAAAAAUACUUCAGGUCAAGCCAAGAACUGUUGCUGCAUUCUAUGGCCGAGGAGUGGCCUAUGCAAGGAAAGGCUUAAAUGUGCCGGAAAAUGCAGUAUUAGCUCUGUCUGACUUUACAGAAGCCAUUCAGACUGAUAAGAAGAGACAUGAAGCCUAUGAGAGGAGAGCAGAGGUGUAUAUCAGCCUCGGACAGUACAACGAAGCACUGGAGGAUCUCACAGUGGCCAUCAAACACAGGCCUACAGAAAAACUUUAUUUUAUGAGGGGAGUCAUUAACCUUUUACUAGAGAAUUUUGCGGAUGCUGAGACGGAUUUUAAACAGAAUCUGGAGUCUGAGGGGGACAUGUACAUAAUGUCCUACUUCAACCUGGGUCUGGCCCAGUACUACAGGGGUCGAGUCAGGAAUGCAAUAGAAGUAUUCAAAGAAAUUCUGAAGAAGAAACCCGAUCACAUAGAUGCAUGUACAAGUUUAGCACAGGCGUUCAAAGAAUUAGGUAACUUGAAAGCAGCAAGAAGUCGUUUUAACCAGUCUCUGUCGCUGGACCCCAACCACAGCCUAUCCCUGCAGCUACAGGGAAGCAUGAUGUACCACAGCGGAGACUCCCACGCUGCCCUCAACGACUUCAACAAAUGUUUAGAAAUCGACUCGGAAAACGUUCACUGCCAAUAUAUGCAAGGCCUGGCCUACUUAGCUAUGGGCAAGUUUUACGAAGGUGUCAAAGCGUCCACAAAAGUGAUGAUAAAAAGCGCAGGAUCUAUAAAAAUGUCACCAGAGUUCAUAAAAGCUCAUUACCUCAGGGAAUAUGGUCGAUAUUUACAUUCCAAGCUGGACGUGAACCUGGACCAACUUCAACCGGAGUACGAUCUGGGAGAUGAAUUCCAGGAUCACUGGGUUAAAACAUUGCCAUUUACAUUUACGAAACCAUAUCAAGAGCAGCCAGGGUUACAGCCUGACAUCAGAGACGUCACGCCCCAGACCCUGUCCAGCUACCCACCACAAGCACAGACCCUGCUGUGCCGGGCGGAGAAGAUCGGCUGGUCCAUGCAGGUCAACUCAGAUGGAUUUACACCCAAUAAAAGACUCAAUCUUGCCAUGGGGCUUGCCUCGAUACACAUAGCACAACAUUUUGAGAUGAAAUGGAAAAGUUAUAAAAAUACAAAAGGAAGUGGAGUCAAUGUCACAGAAAGGCCUUUAAGCUGGAGGGAGGUAUUUGGAAUAGCAGUGCAAUAUCGUCGCCUAGCCGACCCAGAACAGCCAGUAUUGUGGGUGUCAUCCCUCCCCGAUCACCUCACAACAGAAGGGCAUCGGACAGACAUCACAUUUAUAAGGGGAUCAGUAGCUAACCUAAAAGUAAUGCAGUAUUUUGACCUGGUGUUUAAACUGGCCAAGACAAUGCUAGAACACUAUACAGGGGAGGGUGCGGUGUCCUAUGCUAACCUGAAGGAAGACAUCAGGAAGGCGCAGUCAUGCGAGGACCUUCUUUCAGUCGCCAGGAAGAGAAAGAUCAACCCGCAUGGGUUUCUUGUGUCGACACAAGUUCCCAGUAUGACAAAGACCAAAGAGGAGGAUCGGUUAGACGGCGCCAUGCUGAUACUGACAGAGGACUUAAAUGGCAAGAUUGUGUUUGCUCUGAACGUAGCCAAUACCCAAGAGCGGAUGACGAUGUACUCGUCGGAGAUGGACUAUGUUUUUACACAAAUACAGGACGAGAUCAGGAAGACAGGCCUCAGCAAAAUAACUGACAUUGACCAGAUACUCAACCUGAUUGUCUCCCUGGUGUACUACUUUUACAACCUCAUGCCCCUCACCCGAGGCUCCAGUGUUGUGGCAUACACAGUAGCCCUCGGUCUGGUCAUGUCGGUGGGGAGACAGGUGACGGGGAAGAUACCUACAGGCAAGCUGCUGGAGCUGGAAGCCAUGCUAGCAGGUGCCCCGGAUGCUUUUGUAGCUGUCUCUAAACAGUGGAUGAAUAUCAAGAAAAACAACAGUCUUGUCUCAACACUCCCUAAAGUAUGGGAGGUUUUUCCAACAGUGCGCCAUGUUUUAGAAGCCCUGACAGUUAACACGAGCUCAUGUUAAUAUAUAGGAAUUUUAACUGUUUUAACUUUUAUAUGCAUUCCAGCAUCGAACACGCCCCUUGAUAUAUGCACAACAGUCCCUUGCAAAUAAUGAUCUCAUUGGGAACUCAAAGGUGCUGCAUUCUCAGUGAUGAAACAUGAACUUGUGGUUCAGGACCAAGGAACACCAGGUGUCAUGUCAUGGCUCUGUAUGGGCGAGGAUGAGGUGGUCUGGAACACCAGGUGUCAUGUCAUGGCUCUGUAUGGGCGAGGAUGGGGUGGUCUGUAUUGUGGGUGGUCUGUAUGGGCAAGGAUGGGGUGGUCUGUAUUGUGGGUGGUCUGUAUGGGCGAGGAUGGGGGUGGUCUGUAUUGUGGGUGGUCUGUAUGGGCGAGGAUGGGGUGGUCUGUAUUGUGGGUGGUCUGUAUGGGCGAGGAUGGGGUGGUCUGUAUUGUGGGUGGUCUGUAUGGGCGAGGAUGAGGUGGUCUGGAACAACAGGUGUCAUGUCAUGGCUCUGUAUGGGCGAGGAUGGGGUGGCCUGUAUUGUGGGUGGUCUGUAUGGGCGAGGAUGGGGUGGUCUGUAUUGUGGGUGGUCUGUAUGGGCGAGGAUGGGGUGGUCUGUAUUGUGGGUGGUCUGUAUGGGCGAGGAUGGGGUGGUCUGUAUUGUGGGUGGUCUGUAUGGGCGAGGAUGGGGUGGUCUGUAUUGUGGGUGGUCUGUAUGGGCGAGGAUGGGGUGGUCUGUAUUGUGGGUGGUCCGUAUGGGUGAGGAUGGGGUGGUCUGUAUUGUGGGUGGUCUGUAUAGGCGAGGAUGGGGUGGUCUGUAUUGUGGGUGGUCCGUAUGGGCGAGGAUGGGGUGGUCUGUAUUGUGGGUGGUCCGUAUGGGCGAGGAUGGGGUGGUCUGUAUUGUGGGUGGUCUGUAUGGGCGAGGAUGGGGUGGUCUGUAUUGUGGGUGGUCUGUAUGGGCGAGGAUGGGGUGGUCUGUAUUGUGGGCGGUCUGUAUGGGCGAGGAUGGGGUGGUCUGUAUUGUGGGUGGUCUGUAUGGGCGAGGAUGGGGUGGUCUGUAUUGUGGGUGGUCUGUAUGGGCGAGGAUGGGGUGGUCUGUAUUGUGGGUGGUCUGUAUGGGCGAGGAUGGGGUGGUCUGUAUUGUGGGUGGUCUGUAUUGUGGGUGGUCUGUAUUGUGGGUGGUCUGUAUGGGUAAGGAUGGGGGGGCCUGUAUUUGGGGGAUCCUAGGUCCCCUGCUAUGCCUAUCCUUUAUAUAUAGUGCUCUAUGCCGCUGUGUGCCUUAUUGUUAUAAACAUCAAGACCAAAUAAAAAACAUUUUAUAUGAUAAAUAUUCCAGCCCAGAUCAGCUUUUUUUCUUGUUUUACAGAAGAUCCAAACCUAUCUGUAUGCAAAUGCUAAAAGAUUGGUUGAAUGUAGUCUCAUUUCAAAAACCUUCAUGUUGCCAACUCUACUUGAAAAUUUCACAUUUAUUUUGUAAAAAACCAAAAUGAUUCUGUUAUCAUUUCUACAAUUUUCAAAAUAUGAAGAAUUAUGCUCUUGUUUCUUUGUCAUUUGUACCAAUCAUUCCAUUUUCUUUCAUUUUUCUAUUUGUCAAAGAAAAGAAAUAAGAUAAUUUGGCCUUAUUUCAUGGCAUUCCCCUGAGUCAGUGAGAAUGCAGUUCAGUUUCCCUCUGCUCUAAGUGUUAAGUCAGUGAGAAUGCAGUACAGUUUCCCUCUGCUCCAAGUGUUAAGUCAGUGAGAAUGCAGUACAGUUUCCCUCUGCUCCAAGUGUUAAGUCAGUGAGAAUGCAGUACAGUUUCCCUCUGCUCUAAGUGUUAAGUCAGUGAGAAUGCAGUACAGUUUCCCUCUGCUCUAAGUGUUAAGUCAGUGAGAAUGCAGUACAGUUUCCCUCUGCUCUAAGUGUUAAGUCAGUGAGAAUGCAGUACAGUUUCCCUCUGCUCCAAGUGUUAAGUCAGUGAGAAUGCAGUACAGUUUCCCUCUGCUCCAAGUGUUAAGUCAGUGAGAAUGCAGUACAGUUUCCCUCUGCUCCAAGUGUUAAGUCAGU